GCUCUCAUGGUGUAGUUGGUUAUCACGUUCGCCUCACACGCGAAAGGUCUCCAGUUCGAACCUGGAUGAGAGCA
rnacentral:tRNA from 1 species